GAAGCGCGCCAGACCGCCGCUGGCACAAGACCCGAAAGGGUGUGCUGGAGGAACGUCCGGACUGCACAGGGCAGCGUAGGAGGUAACACCUCUCCACCGACCAGCCGCCGGGUUCGCCCGGCGGCCCUAAGGUGAGGAUCAGAGCAACAGAGACGAGUCGGCCCGGGGCGACCCGGGCCGGGUGAAACGGGCAAUCUCUACGCGCAGCAACACCAAAUAGGCCAGCGUCGAUGUGGCUCCGCGGAGCUGGCGGGUAGGUGGCAUCGAGCCGGGUGGGCGACCCCCGGCCCAGAAGAAUGGCGGUCACGGUCGGGGCGACCCGGCCGCACAGAAUCCGGCUUAUCGGCGCGCUUCACAC
rnacentral:RNase_P_RNA from 1 species